GAUGAACGCUGGCGGCGUGCUUAACACAUGCAAGUCGAACGGAAAGGCCCAAGCUUGCUUGGGUACUCGAGUGGCGAACGGGUGAGUAACACGUGGGUGAUCUGUCCUGCACUUCGGGAUAAGCCUGGGAAACUGGGUCUAAUACCGGAUAGGACCACUUCUUGGAUGUUGUGGUGGAAAGUUUUUUCGGUGUGGGAUGAGCUCGCGGCCUAUCAGCUUGUUGGUGGGGUAAUGGCCUACCAAGGCGUCGACGGGUAGCCGGCCUGAGAGGGUGUACGGCCACAUUGGGACUGAGAUACGGCCCAGACUCCUACGGGAGGCAGCAGUGGGGAAUAUUGCACAAUGGGCGCAAGCCUGAUGCAGCGACGCCGCGUGGGGGAUGACGGCCUUCGGGUUGUAAACUCCUUUCGCUAGGGACGAAGCGUUUUGUGACGGUACCUGGAGAAGAAGCACCGGCUAACUACGUG
rnacentral:rRNA from 1 species